GACGAACGCUGGCGGCGUGCCUAAUACAUGCAAGUCGAACGAGAGCGACCGGUGCUUGCACUGGUCAAUCUAGUGGCGAACGGGGGAGUAACACGCGGGUAACCUGCCCAUCAGAGGGGGAUAACAUCCGGAAACGGAUGCUAAAACCGCAUAGGUCUUCGAGCCGCAUGGCUUGAAGAGGAAAAGAGGAGCAAGCUUCUGCUGAUGGAUGGACCCGCGGUGCAUUAGCUAGUUGGUGAGGUAACGGCUCACCAAGGCGGUGAUGCAUAGCCGACCUGAGGGGGUGAUCGGCCACAUUGGGACUGAGACACGGCCCAAACUCCUACGGGAGGCAGCAGUAGGGAAUCUUCCGCAAUGGACGCAAGUCUGACGGAGCAACGCCGCGUGAUUGAAGAUGGUUUUCGGAUCGUAAAACUCUGUUGUUAGAGAAGAACAAGUGCUAGAGUAACUGUUAGCGCCUUGACGGUAUCUAACCAGAAAGCCACGGCUAACUACGUG
rnacentral:rRNA from 1 species